rnacentral:lncRNA from 1 species
GCCAUGUACAACAAUCUUAUAAUAAAACUAAUACCAUUAUCCCGUUUUUUGUUAUCCUUUUGGUAUUUCUAUUUCAUUCAGAUUCAUUUCGUAUAUCGAUAGAUAUCACUAUCUGUCUCUAUUCUUCCUACUUAAUUUCUUUUGAUAACGAUAAAUAUUUUUAUUUAUAUAAAUGAUGAAGUUUUCACUGUAAUUUAUCAAACUGACAAGUAU